rnacentral:rRNA from 1 species
UACGUAGGGUGCAAGCGUUGUCCGGAUUUAUUGGGCGUAAAGAGCUCGUAGGCGGUCAGUCGCGUCGGAUGUGAAAACCCGGAGCUUAACUCCGGGCCUGCAUUCGAUACGGGCUGACUAGAGUGUUGUAGGGGAGACUGGAACUCCUGGUGUAGCGGUGAAAUGCGCAGAUAUCAGGAAGAACACCGGUGGCGAAGGCGGGUCUCUGGGCAACUACUGACGCUGAGGAGCGAAGGCGUGGGGAGCAAACAGG